rnacentral:rRNA from 1 species
GUAGGAAUACCCGCUGAACUU